rnacentral:rRNA from 1 species
UGGGGAAUAUUGCACAAUGGGCGAAAGCCUGAUGCAGCGACGCCGCGUGAGGGAUGACGGCCUUCGGGUUGUAAACCUCUUUCAGCAGGGAAGAAGCGAAAGUGACGGUACCUGCAGAAGAAGCGCCGGCUAACUACGUGCCAGCAGCCGCGGUAAUACGUAGGGCGCAAGCGUUGUCCGGAAUUAUUGGGCGUAAAGAGCUCGUAGGCGGUUAGUCGCGUCUGCUGUGAAAACUCGAGGCUCAACCUCGGGCUUGCAGUGGGUACGGGCUGACUAGAGUGCGGUAGGGGUGACUGGAAUUCCUGGUGUAGCGGUGGAAUGCGCAGAUAUCAGGAGGAACACCGAUGGCGAAGGCAGGUCACUGGGCCGCAACUGACGCUGAGGAGCGAAAGCAUGGGGAGCGAACAGGAUUAGAUACCCUGGUAGUCCAUGCCGUAAACGUUGGGCACUAGGUGUGGGGUCCAUUCCACGGAUUCCGUGCCGCAGCAAACGCAUUAAGUGCCCCGCCUGGGGAGUACGGCCGCAAGGCUAAAACUUAAAUGAAUUGACGGGGUCAUAGCU